AUUGAACGCUGGCGGCAUGCCUUACACAUGCAAGUCGAACGGUAACAGGUCUUCGGAUGCUGACGAGUGGCGAACGGGUGAGUAAUACAUCGGAACGUGCCUAGUAGUGGGGGAUAACUACUCGAAAGAGUGGCUAAUACCGCAUGAGAUCUACGGAUGAAAGCAGGGGAUCGCAAGACCUUGUGCUACUAGAGCGGCCGAUGGCAGAUUAGGUAGUUGGUGGGAUAAAAGCUUACCAAGACGACGAUCUGUAGCUGGUCUGAGAGGACGAUCAGCCACACUGGGACUGAGACACGGCCCAGACUCCUACGGGAGGCAGCAGUGGGGAAUUUUGGACAAUGGGCGAAAGCCUGAUCCAGCAAUGCCGCGUGGAGGAUGAAUGCCUUCGGGUUGUAAACUGCUUUUGUACGGAACGAAAAGCCCCGGGUUAAUACCCUGGGGUCAUGACGGUACCGUAAGAAUAAGCACCGGCUAACUACGUGCCAGCCGCCGCCGUAA
rnacentral:rRNA from 1 species